GGAAUUUUUCGCAAUGGGCGCAAGCCUGACGAAGCAACGCCGCGUAGAGGAUGGAGGUCUUCGGAUUGUAAACUCCUGUUGCCUGGGACGAAUUGUUCGGACCUAACACGUCUGAAUUUGACGGUACCAGGUGAUGAAGCCCCGGCUAACUCUGUUCCAGCAGCCGCGGUAAUACAGAGGGGGCAAGCGUUGUUCGGAAUUACUGGGCGUAAAGGGCGCGUAGGCGGCCCUCUAAGUCGAACGUGAAAUCCCUGGGCUCAACCCAGGAACUGCGUCCGAGACUGGGGGGCUGGAAUCCGGGAGAGGGAUGUGGAAUUCCAGGUGUAGCGGUGAAAUGCGUAGAUAUCUGGAGGAACAUCGGUGGCGAAGGCGGCAUCCUGGACCGGUAUUGACGCUGAGGCGCGAAAGCCAGGGGAGCAAAC
rnacentral:rRNA from 1 species